GGUUGACCUCGGAUCAGGUAGGGAUACCCGCUAAACAUAACCUUAUCAAUAAGCGGAGGAAAA
rnacentral:rRNA from 1 species